UUUGAAAGGGCUAGUAACACCAUCUUUUUUGAGGUCACUGAGUACUUCCUGUUGUAAGUACCUAUUUUCAGUUGCUUAUAACCUUGUGAAAAUUUCACAGUUGGAGCUGAAGUUUUCCACACUGGCUAUCUGUCUCAGCUGAUUUGUGAGUAGGAAGUGUCAGACAUUUCUGAAACAUGUUGAAAAGUGUCUAGAAAAAAGGAGAAUUGAACAACUGGUAUUGUCUGCAUUAAUGUUUCUGGUGAUUUUUUUCUUGGAAAUGCUCUAAUACGUCCUUGUUUUGCAGGGAUUUGUGAGGAAGUAGCCAAAUUAUAAAUCUUUGAGUAUUUGUAUUUUGUACAAUAUUGAAUGGACCGCUUGUUUUUACCAACCAAAUAUCCUAAUGAUUUUGUCAGCACUGAAGAUGGAGCAAGAGGAAAAAAAAUGCUGCUUGUGGGUUGUGCUGCAGAUUGUGCUGUCCUGCUCUCUGAAUUCAGGCUCUGCUUCUUUCGUGUUUAUAGAGGUCACCCCAUGGGCCCAAACAGCUGGGAGAAGGAAAACGCUUCUGGGAAGAGCAAGAGCUUUAUGAAGAUGGGUCCUGUUGAUUGUCAUUUCACGGAUGAAAAGUAUGAGAACAGAGAUAUACAAUGACAGACCUUCUAAGUGACCUUGAGUAAAUGGAAGAACCAGAAGUACAUACAUUUCUUGCUCUUUUCCUGACCUUUCUUUCCCUAGAUUUAUGUAUUGGUUGCUUCUGCUUUGAGGAGUGAAAAAUGUGACAUCUAAAGGGCUUUUUGAACCAUGUGUGCGCUAUGUUAAAAUGCAAAUUCUGUGUUUGCAGAUUAAGAAAGUGAUCUAGUUCAUUUCUUAAGAGAUGAAGAUUCCAGAAAGUCAAACCUGAAUAGAGAACAAAAAAUAGUAUCACCACCUUCCUGAGUAGGUUUUGCUUUGGUGUCUGUCUUCUAGAGUGAAAUGAGUAUUUAACUAAAUGUUUUUUAUUAACUUCACAGAAAUGAAAACAGGAAGGUUCCUCUUUAAUGUWAGGUAAACAUAUUUUUUAGAAAGACUUGAUUCCCUUUUCAGUAUCCAGUAAUCAAAUGUUAAUUGCCCAAAUUUAAAACUAAUAUUUACCAUCAUCAAAAUUAUCAUCAAUCAGUAAUAAAUUUCCAGGCAUACAGACA
rnacentral:lncRNA from 1 species